AGAAGGGAAGUGUCCAUGAUACCUGCGAGUUGGAGUUAGGAGGGCUCCCCUACAUUCAAAGAAAACCUUCCUAUAGAUACAUCGAUGUUUAAAGAAGUAUCACUAGGGUGGUUGAUUGGGUGAGUGCCUAGCAUGUAAGCAUAGAGAGGUUACUUACCUAACUGAUCCUAA